UGGGGAAUCUUGCGCAAUGGCCGGAAGGCUGACGCAGCGACGCCGCGUGGAGGAUGACGCCCCUCGGGGUGUAAACUCCUGUUGCCCGGGACGAAUGCCCCCUUCGCGGGGGAGUGACGGUACCGGGUGAGGAAGCACCGGCUAACUCUGUGCCAGCAGCCGCGGUAAUACAGAGGGUGCGAGCGUUGUCCGGAAUCACUGGGCGUAAAGGGCGCGUAGGUGGUCGGGGAAGCGUGUGGUGAAAGCCCGGGGCUCAACCCCGGGUCGGCCAUGCGAACUGCCCGACUGGAGCACGGUAGAGGCCAAUGGAAUUCCGGGUGUAGCGGUGGAAUGCGUAGAGAUCCGGAAGAACACCGGUGGCGAAGGCGGUUGGCUGGGCCGUGGCUGACACUGAGGCGCGACAGCGUGGGGAGCAAACAG
rnacentral:rRNA from 1 species